GGAUGCGAUCAUACCAGCACUAAGCCAUUGGAUCCCAUCGAAACUCCGAAGUUAAGCGUGCUUGGACGAGAGUAGUACUAGGAUGGGGGACCUCCUGGGAAGUCCUCGUGUUGCAUUCC